GAGCAGGGUACUUCCCUGUCUGAAAUGGACCAUACAGAUUCUGUGGUCACUGAAAUCUAAUCUAUAGAAAAUAUAUAUUCUGCUGAAUUGCAGACAAGUAUUUUGAGAGCAAAGCACAUGGAAAUAACUCCCUUAAAUCAGCAGAGAAAUCUAGGUGAACAAAAGACAGUCCACAUUAAAAGAUUUUUGACCAGAAAGGAAACACUAGGCACUCUUAAACUUUGGGGAAGUGAGUAGGAAAACAUAGAGCUUGAAAGGUUUGGACACAGCCUGUUGAGUGUUACUCACGGAGCUGCCUCAAGAGGCAGGGCAGGCUUCCCUGGGAGCCCACCUGUGACCAGAUCCUUGCUGGUGGGCAGGUGAUUUGGGAAUACAGCCUGUCCAGCUGUGGACCUGCCUCUGGCCUUGUGGGCACCAGAGCUGCCCAGCUCUGCGCCAGCUCCCUGGCUGCACAGGCUAUCACAGGCUGCAAAUAAGGAGCACUUUUUGAUUUGAAAACAUUACUGCCUCCCUGCAGCAGUGAUUUCAUGCUGUUUUCUAUAUCAGAUAUUGUGAAAUUAAAG
rnacentral:lncRNA from 1 species